CACGUAGGGGGCAAGCGUUGUUCGGAAUUAUUGGGCGUAAAGGGCAUGUAGGCGGUUUUGUAAGCCUGGUGUGAAAUCCUGCAGCUUAACUGUAGAAUUGCAUUGGGUACUGCAAGACUUGAAUCACAGAGGGGAAACUAGAAUUCCAGGUGUAGGGGUGGAAUCUGUAGAUAUCUGGAAGAAUACCGGUGGCGAAGGCGGGUUUCUAGCUGAUGAUUGACGCUGAGGUGCGAAAGUGCGGGGAGCAAACAGG
rnacentral:rRNA from 1 species